GACGAACGCUGGCGGCGUGCUUAACACAUGCAAGUCGAACGGAAAGGCCCUGCUUUUGUGGGGUGCUCGAGUGGCGAACGGGUGAGUAACACGUGAGUAACCUGCCCUUGACUUUGGGAUAACUUCAGGAAACUGGGGCUAAUACCGGAUAGGAGCUCCUGCUGCAUGGUGGGGGUUGGAAAGUUUCGGCGGUUGGGGAUGGACUCGCGGCUUAUCAGCUUGUUGGUGGGGUAGUGGCUUACCAAGGCUUUGACGGGUAGCCGGCCUGAGAGGGUGACCGGCCACAAUGGGACUGAGAUACGGCCCAGACUCCUACGGGAGGCAGCAGUGGGGAAUAUUGCACAAUGGGCGGAAGCCUGAUGCAGCAACGCCGCGUGCGGGAUGACGGCCUUCGGGUUGUAAACCGCUUUCGCCUGUAACGAAGCGUGAGUGACGGUAAUGGGUAAAGAAGCACCGGCUAACUACGUG
rnacentral:rRNA from 1 species